ensembl:lncRNA
UGAAGACUGGCACCUAUCUUCCUGCCAUCACUAGACAAUUAAUUUCUCACAACCAAAUUAACAAUGUAAAAAAAUAUUACAGCAUGGGCAAUCAUUCCUGCUUGCAGAUUGUGAAAAAAUGCAUUGCAGUGAGUGCUGCAGAUCACAGACAGCGUUCCACUGUAAGUAGUUUCUAUUUCAACUCUCUGUUCUGGCAACCUACCAGUAUCUAUUUUUGUUUUGUAAAGUUCACAGUUUUGUUUUCUUUUUUUUCUUUACAGGUGAUAGCAUUUUUUCUUGAGCUAAAAGAUUGGUGGAGAUGCAGUCUGAGUAUGAUCAGUCAGGAACCAGGCUUUAAUCUUGUACAGUGAUGCGCAUCAAGGGAGAUAGACAGAGGUUUCACUCAAAAGCUUCACCUAUGUCUCAUCUGGUCUGCCAUUGUAACACUUCAGUUUUUAUAUCCUACAUAGCAUAAGGGGUGUCACCCCAUAGCCCCAUCCCUCCAUAAAUAUGUAUCAGUCUGUGAAGGAACCGGAAUUAAGAUAUUUAUUGUUAAUAAGUAUAUGCCAUAGUCAAUAAUUCAAUGUAUCUUAUACCUAGUUAUAAUUGUUACUUGUAUUUGGGACUUAAGUUAAAAUGUAAUCAUUUCUGUUUAGAGAAGAGUUAUCUUGAGGGAGUGUAUUGAAUGUGUCAGCAGAUGGCUCAGAGACUUGUGUCUCCAAGAGCUCAUGAAUACUGAGGGUGACGCCCUUGGUUCGCAGAGAGUAUUUAACAAGCCCGCCUUCAAUGGAUAAAUCAGAUAAUCUUAGGUGAAGCUCUGGGCGAGUGGAACUUCAGCUCUGUCUCAACAAUGUGUGGCCACCAUUGUUCAAGAUUAAACCUGAAUCGUGACUGACAAAUCUAAGACUGGAUCUCCAAUAUAUGGUAUAAAAUUAAAUACUAUCAUCGGGAAACUCCACAACAUUUGUCGAUAGGGGAAAUUGAUUAAGAGAUCCAGCUGUGAGCAAAUGUCUCAGAGGCCUGUAUUUAUGGGGGACAACACAGCGUUUCACGCCCUCCUCAUAGACGCAUACACGUUGUGGUGUCGUCACUGGAAAACACAUAGUUGUAUUAGCGACAGGGUCUUUAAACUAUUUUAAUGGCAUGAAGUGACAUAUGCACUCAAGACAUAGUCAUCUUGGCCAAUGCCUUUGGGACGUUGUCUUUCCAUCGUAAUGGCAAUAGACAGACACCAGUAACUGGUGUUUUUGUCUGCACAGCAGCAGAGGCCAUAGUCAGGGAUAUUAUCAUGAGCUACUGUGCUAUAUUAAAGUUGCUUGUCAUAAGUGGGGCAUUGUGGUUCUCUCUCCAUUUCCUCCUUUAAAAGCAACACCUGUAAAUAAAUGUUAAAUGUAUUUAUUGAUAGCUCUACUUGUGGCUGUAAUGUGUCCUCAGCUCUCAGUAC